ensembl:lncRNA
UUGUUGGACAAUCUUUAACAGUUGAUAUCUUAAGCUUGCACAAAUAGACCUUGUGUUGGAUGUGCUAAGAUUUGAGAAUGAUGGAAUUAUGAAUGUGUGCAUGCAGGUGUCUGAGAUUGCUUUAGGGAGAGAAAAGGUGAUCUGAGUGAAAAAUGAUGUUUUGCAGUUAAACUUUAGUUCUUAUUAGAAAAACAGCAUCAGAACGCUAUCUGGUCGUGUUCUGCCUCACCGCACUUAGGACCCUCUUUUAGAUCCGGACCUCACAGGAGGAUGUUUCUCUAGAUGACACCUUGGCUGACAGAGAAGACGAAGGUGUGCUGACGAUCCAAUCCAGAGUUGACCUCGGUACACAUUGCUGAAGCGUUUGGCAGAUGCGCUUUCUCAAGUUUAAAUUAACUCAGAAAUCAAAAGACUCUGGGACGAGUCUGCGUUAGCGGUUGCAUUUCUGCUAUUCUGUCUGGCUUGACAGAAAUAGCAUGGAGGGAGAAUAGGAAGCCGGCAGGGCUCCUUUCCCCGUGGCGUUCGUUCUGCACUUCCUCUCUCAUCCGAUCUUACUCUCGUUCUGACUCAUUACCCAAAACCACUUCUCUUCCCAAAGCAAACUUGUUGUGCGUCAGAGCAAAUGUGUUUUGAGUUACUGUGGAUACGGACCUGUGUGAGGAAGUGUGAAGGUCAUUGCUAAACAUCUUCAAAAACAUUAUUUAAUUAAGUACUGAUUCCUUAUAGUUCAUUAUGAUUACCCAAAGCAUAGCAAUCAUUCAUUUGAUUAAAAUACAUUUAUAAUGAGCAAAGUGAUCAACUGAUUAUUUAACAUUUAUAAAAUAAAGAAGAAAGUUUAAGACUCUGUUUUAUUAUGACUAGACUGUGGGUUGAAGUCCUUCUUCUGAAGAGCAGGUGAUGUGAUGUUGUGGAUUCCUUCAGACUUGCUGGCAUCUUAGGUCUUAAUCUGUGGGUGAAGGUGCUGCGUGACCCAGCUCUGACCCAGCCGGGCAAAUACGACCUUUGGCACAGAAACCCCAUACUUCCUCACGUUACAAUACUAAGCUUGAGACAAAAUAUGCCAAGAAUGUCCUGAAUUUAGAGUGUUAAAAAGGCCAUUCACGGGUCAAAAUGUCAUUUGAGGAAAGUUUCAGUGCCUUAUUAAUACAAGAACAAUGAACAUUAGUCCCGACCCAACUAUGGGGUGUCAUAUCUUGUUUGAAAGCUCUUAAUCAGAGCUAUUUAAUCAUCAUAACCUCCAGUUCCUUGCUACAACUGCAUGCUUGCACUGACUGAUUUUGUGCGUCUCAUCGAACCCUGAACUUGGUCCCCGUAGGCCAAAGUCAUUGACAACUUGACGACUCAAGCACUUGUGUUUUCACUUUGACAUAAGACUCUAAGCAGCCUGCUAGGUUGCCACAAGUUGACAUUAAUAUCAUUCUCAUUUUUAAGGGAAAACAUGCAUUGGAUUGUGGGUAGUUUUUACAUUUACAGCACACGUGAGGUAAACAUUUGUUGGAUCCAGGAGUAAUUUGCACAUUCAAAUCCUUUUCAGCCACAAACCCCAACUCUAGGUUGUCAUAUCUUGUUUCAAAGCUCUUGCUAUAGCCUUCCUAUAUCUCCCCAUUUUCAGCAAGAGCUCAGCUUUCCAGUGAGAACAGCCCCAUUAUGUUAGCAUUAACCAGGACAACCCUACAGGCAGUUUGAAGUUUUGUGUUGGAUUCUUGAGUAUUUACAGCCCUGGGGAAGUUACCCUUCAUUGCAUUUAGGUGAUAUUUGCACUAUCAAAUACUUUUUUGCAAUGUUUUCCACAUUUUUAAAGUUGUCACCCAGCUCAGUGGAACACUGGAUCUACAAAUACACAGAACCACUGUUUUAUCAAAAUAUCCCUGCUCACUAAGAGAUUGAGCUUGGUGUAAAUAUCAGGGUUUACGUUACUACCAUAAUUGCAACCAAAGUCAAAAUGAUCAAUGCUCAUUACUGGUUCUCUCCAUUUUUAUUUUGAUAACAACAGAUUAAUUGACAAUCAUACAACAAAUCUUCAGCAGUAUCACAUUUAUCUUUACAGGUAAGAUCUUCAUACAUGAGUCAUAUUGGUCGUUUGUGAAAGGCUGACUAUGUCGCUUCAAUCAUCCAGCCAUUCCAAGUCAAGUCCUUCUCCCCGAAACGACUUCCGGUUUACACCAUAGUCAAAUUUCAGUUCGUUGUUUAUUUCGAUGUCUUUUUUGGCGAUGAGCAAAAUCACAGGUCUCUCUCCAUCUUGAAACUUCAUAGAGCAGAGCCAUGGCUUCAUGUUGGCGUUUUUGCUUGAAUGAAUAAAUUUCCUCCCAAACGUUUGCAUGUCAGGGUGACAUUUGCAGGGAAAUGUCUGUGCAUCAAUGCACAGGUUCUCAUUAGCCAGUGUUGAGAAGAAAAAAAGAUAUCCCAUGUCAUCUGUAAUGUUCUGCAUCAUUUUCUUCCCUUGCUUUGCAGGAAUGAUCUCUCAGUGAUAAUCGCAGAUGACAGAUCCUCUCACGAAUCGUCUGGUGGCAACAACUCCUGUGGGAAAAUAUGAUAAAAAAAAAUAAAUGACAUUGUAUUGUGAUCAGCUUUGAUUAGAGGAAUGAAGAAAUCAGUUUGUUCACACACCUUGUCCUCGUUUGUCCUCAAAAUCUUUUAUAGCGAUCCCAGACCAUUUCUGAUCCACAACCCUCUUUAAAAUCCUCGGGUCCUCCUUCAGUUGACAUUUUGGUGCCGGCUUCCACUUGCCCACAAUAUCUUCAGGCUGUGGGUAGUUUGCUGUCCACCCCUCACGUUGGAUCAACUUUGUUACCUUGGAGACGGUAGGAGGAUGUCUGUAAAAUUUAGCUGUAAAAAACACAAGACAUUCCAUUUAAGAUAGUUAUAA